GGUUAAGCGACUAAGCGUACACGGUGGAUGCCCUGGCAGUCAGAGGCGAUGAAGGACGUGCUAAUCUGCGAUAAGCGUCGGUAAGGUGAUAUGAACCGUUAUAACCGGCGAUUUCCGAAUGGGGAAACCCAGUGUGAUUCGUCACACUAUCAUUAACUGAAUCCAUAGGUUAAUGAGGCGAACCGGGGGAACUGAAACAUCUAAGUACCCCGAGGAAAAGAAAUCAACCGAGAUUCCCCCAGUAGCGGCGAGCGAACGGGGAGCAGCCCAGAGCCUGAAUCAGUGUGUGUGUUAGUGGAAGCGUCUGGAAAGGCGUGCGAUACAGGGUGACAGCCCCGUACACAAAAAUGCACAUACUGUGAGCUCGAUGAGUAGGGCGGGACACGUGGUAUCCUGUCUGAAUAUGGGGGGACCAUCCUCCAAGGCUAAAUACUCCUGACUGACCGAUAGUGAACCAGUACCGUGAGGGAAAGGCGAAAAGAACCCCGGCGAGGGGAGUGAAAAAGAACCUGAAACCGUGUACGUACAAGCAGUGGGAGCACGCUUAGGCGUGUGACUGCGUACCUUUUGUAUAAUGGGUCAGCGACUUAUAUUCUGUAGCAAGGUUAACCGAAUAGGGGAGCCGAAGGGAAACCGAGUCUUAACUGGGCGUUAAGUUGCAGGGUAUAGACCCGAAACCCGGUGAUCUAGCCAUGGGCAGGUUGAAGGUUGGGUAACACUAACUGGAGGACCGAACCGACUAAUGUUGAAAAAUUAGCGGAUGACUUGUGGCUGGGGGUGAAAGGCCAAUCAAACCGGGAGAUAGCUGGUUCUCCCCGAAAGCUAUUUAGGUAGCGCCUCGUGAAUUCAUCUCCGGGGGUAGAGCACUGUUUCGGCAAGGGGUCAUCCCGACUUACCAACCCGAUGCAAACUGCGAAUACCGGAGAAUGUUAUCACGGGAGACACACGGCGGGUGCUAACGUCCGUCGUGAAGAGGGAAACAACCCAGACCGCCAGCUAAGGUCCCAAAGUCAUGGUUAAGUGGGAAACGAUGUGGGAAGGCCCAGACAGCCAGGAUGUUGGCUUAGAAGCAGCCAUCAUUUAAAGAAAGCGUAAUAGCUCACUGGUCGAGUCGGCCUGCGCGGAAGAUGUAACGGGGCUAAACCAUGCACCGAAGCUGCGGCAGCGACGCUUAUGCGUUGUUGGGUAGGGGAGCGUUCUGUAAGCCUGUGAAGGUGUGCUGUGAGGUAUGCUGGAGGUAUCAGAAGUGCGAAUGCUGACAUAAGUAACGAUAAAGCGGGUGAAAAGCCCGCUCGCCGGAAGACCAAGGGUUCCUGUCCAACGUUAAUCGGGGCAGGGUGAGUCGACCCCUAAGGCGAGGCCGAAAGGCGUAGUCGAUGGGAAACAGGUUAAUAUUCCUGUACUUGGUGUUACUGCGAAGGGGGGACGGAGAAGGCUAUGUUGGCCGGGCGACGGUUGUCCCGGUUUAAGCGUGUAGGCUGGUUUUCCAGGCAAAUCCGGAAAAUCAAGGCCGAGGCGUGAUGACGAGGCACUACGGUGCUGAAGCAACAAAUGCCCUGCUUCCAGGAAAAGCCUCUAAGCAUCAGGUAACAUCAAAUCGUACCCCAAACCGACACAGGUGGUCAGGUAGAGAAUACCAAGGCGCUUGAGAGAACUCGGGUGAAGGAACUAGGCAAAAUGGUGCCGUAACUUCGGGAGAAGGCACGCUGAUACGUAGGUGAAGCGACUUGCUCGUGGAGCUGAAAUCAGUCGAAGAUACCAGCUGGCUGCAACUGUUUAUUAAAAACACAGCACUGUGCAAACACGAAAGUGGACGUAUACGGUGUGACGCCUGCCCGGUGCCGGAAGGUUAAUUGAUGGGGUUAGCGCAAGCGAAGCUCUUGAUCGAAGCCCCGGUAAACGGCGGCCGUAACUAUAACGGUCCUAAGGUAGCGAAAUUCCUUGUCGGGUAAGUUCCGACCUGCACGAAUGGCGUAAUGAUGGCCAGGCUGUCUCCACCCGAGACUCAGUGAAAUUGAACUCGCUGUGAAGAUGCAGUGUACCCGCGGCAAGACGGAAAGACCCCGUGAACCUUUACUAUAGCUUGACACUGAACAUUGAGCCUUGAUGUGUAGGAUAGGUGGGAGGCUUUGAAGUGUGGACGCCAGUCUGCAUGGAGCCGACCUUGAAAUACCACCCUUUAAUGUUUGAUGUUCUAACGUGGACCCGUGAUCCGGGUUGCGGACAGUGUCUGGUGGGUAGUUUGACUGGGGCGGUCUCCUCCUAAAGAGUAACGGAGGAGCACGAAGGUUGGCUAAUCCUGGUCGGACAUCAGGAGGUUAGUGCAAUGGCAUAAGCCAGCUUGACUGCGAGCGUGACGGCGCGAGCAGGUGCGAAAGCAGGUCAUAGUGAUCCGGUGGUUCUGAAUGGAAGGGCCAUCGCUCAACGGAUAAAAGGUACUCCGGGGAUAACAGGCUGAUACCGCCCAAGAGUUCAUAUCGACGGCGGUGUUUGGCACCUCGAUGUCGGCUCAUCACAUCCUGGGGCUGAAGUAGGUCCCAAGGGUAUGGCUGUUCGCCAUUUAAAGUGGUACGCGAGCUGGGUUUAGAACGUCGUGAGACAGUUCGGUCCCUAUCUGCCGUGGGCGCUGGAGAACUGAGGGGGCUGCUCCUAGUACGAGAGGACCGGAGUGGACGCAUCACUGGUGUUCGGGUUGUCAUGCCAAUGGCACUGCCCGGUAGCUAAAUGCGGAAGAGAUAAGUGCUGAAAGCAUCUAAGCACGAAACUUGCCCCGAGAUGAGUUCUCCCUGACCCUUUAAGGGUCCUGAAGGAACGUUGAAGACGACGACGUUGAUAGGCCGGGUGUGUAAGCGCAGCGAUGCGUUGAGCUAACCGGUACUAAUGAACCGUGAGGCUUAACCUU
rnacentral:rRNA from 1 species